rnacentral:lncRNA from 10 species
CAGGUCAACAGUUCUCAGUUUUUGGUCCCUGAGGAGCAGCAUCAUCAUCACCUAGGAACUUGUUAGAAAGAUGCUCCUUGAAAUUUGAGAACUACAACUCCACCUCUUGGACUUGAGGAUGAGGAAGGCUUGGUCAGCUUGUUUAUUCCCUAAGGAUACUACAAGGAUACUCUAGUCAUCUUCAUAUAAAAUGAUCAAGGUGAAGAAAUAUAAAAUGAUCAAGGUGAAGAAAAUAACCAAGUUUCAGGUGACUCCACUGAAAAACAAGCCCCUGUGACUCACUUUAUCAUUGAGACCUGGCUAAGAAAUGGGUGUAAGGAAAAAGAGCUGGGCAUGGUGGCUACGCCUGUAAUUCCAGCAUUUUGGGAGGCUGAAGGAGGUGGAUCGCUUGAGAUCAGGAGUUCGAGACCAGCCUGGCCAACAUGGUGAAACCCCGUCUCUACUAAAAAUACAAAAAUUAGCCAGGUGUGAUGGUGCGCACCUGUAGUCCCAGCUACUGGGGAGGCUGAGGCAUGAGAAUUGCUUGAACCCAGGAGGCCGAAGUUGCGGUGAGUUGAGAUGGUGCCACUGCACUCCAACCUGGGCGACAGAGUGAGAACUCCACCUCAAAAAACAAAUAAACAAAAAAAAAGUUUUCCCUUUUCUGAAUAUCAGUUUCACCUUGCACAGAAUUGGAAUAGAGAUAGCAAUUUUAUACAUUUUGGGAAAUGUUUAAUGAUAUCACAGAUAUUGUGUGCCUGGUAUAGGUUUUGAUAAAUUUUAACUAUUUCUAGCCCCUUCUCUCCUCUUCCAGUUUCUCUGCAAGGGAGGUAGGGAGAAAUGAAUAUUAAAAGUCAAAUUGGUAUUCGCUGAAGUCAUUUAAUAAAUGUUUCUUGAGCAUCUACUUUGUUACAGACUAGAGAUACAAAGAUGAAUGAGUUAGUAUUCACAUCCUCAAGGAACUCAUUUUAGUAUAAUGAUUAUUAAACCAAGAAUAAUAAGAUAUGCAUAAAUAAAAAUUUCUCCUCAUAGAGCAUGAAAAUAUCAAUCCUGCACUUACCACUAUUCUCCCUUGUACCUGAAAAAAUUAUUACUUUAAUAUUCUUAGUUUUUAUAUUUUUUAAUUAUACUUUAAAUAUAUAGCUAAACAUUUAGACAAACACAACAAUCUAUAUCCAUUCAGGUUUAAUUAGUGUCAUUGAAUUUUUCAGGUUUCUUUAUUCUUCCUAGUGAUAUCAUAUUAAAUUUGCAGUUUUAAAACAAAUACUAUAAAAACAGUAUGAAAGAAGUUUAUUUUUAGGACUGUUGAAUGAUUUUUUUAAUGAACAAAUGAGAAAGAGUGUUUUCAUAUAGCAUGCGUUAAGGAAAAAAUUAUCCAUUUGAAAAAACUUUUAUUUUUAAUUUACCACUCAAUGUUCAUUAAACAGAGAAUUGUUGUGGAUCUGUGCACGGUUCAGAAAAGUGAAUAUCAAUGAAAUAUAGCACACACAACAGUUGAAUGGUCCCUAAAUUGUUAUUACUAUCAUUUCAAUUAUUUAUGCAGUAAACUGUAUAAUAUAACAAUAACAUUAAAAGAUGAAUACAGACCUUAGCUCCCUGAUGUGCUACUUCUUCCUCCAAAUCAUAUUUACAAUUAACCAGAAGUUGGAAUUCCAAGUCUUAUUGAGAAAUAGUUCACUUGCUUUUGAAUUGUACCAGCUUCUUCUCCGAGUCUCCCUACUGAACUCCAUGUCUGAUGAAACAUUUAUUUGAACAAACAAAAUACAUAUGUACAAAUAAAUACAAGUGUCAGGAGCUGACAUACGAAUGCAAACACAUGUCUUUCCCCAGGCCCACUAUGACACCGUGACAGGCUAAAGAGCCUUUUGAAUGGAAACUACAUAAAGCAUCAAGCCCCUGAAAAGAAUGACCAGACAAAAGUGCCACAAUCAAUUGAAUGUCUUUAGGAGAUACACUUUUCUUUUAAAAAGCGUGACGCUUUGAUGACUCAGUGGCAGGACAGGUGACAAAGGAAUGGCUGCCUGGAGGCUGUGCAUGGCAGGAGGAGACACCACAGUCUUCCCGCCCUGCCACCCGUCCCUGCCGCCUGACUGUGGAAGGAUGAAGGACACUUUUAGAAAUUUCCCUGCGCGGAGAUGCCAGGAAACCAAUCAUCGCCCAGCCACUUUGUGGGGCCAUUAGCAGAGCGUCAAACUCCAUCUUUGUUUAAACGAAAGCACAAAGAAAAUAAUUUUUCAUCUGAGGAAUCACCUUAAGAUCCCCAAAUGGAAAGUAAGGGGAGCAGUAAACCUCUCACUCCGGGUGGGCAGCUCUAACACAGGGCAUUAAGGUAAGAAGGUUAUUUAUGACAGAAGAAAGGAGACAGGAUUCCAAAGUGGGAGACGAAGGACAGAGGUGAUUGGAGCCUAGCUUUAUCCCCUGCCCCAUUCAAAUGCGGAGGGCAAUGACUUCCAUAAGAAACCAGGUGCCACACGUGACCCAAAGGCAAAAGCCUCACUUUAACUCCUUGAUAUGGUCUGGCUGUGUUCCCACCCAAAAUCUCAUCUGGAAUUGUAGUCCCCAUAAUCCCUGUGUGUGUCAAGGGCAGAACCAGGUGGAGGUAAUCGGAUCAUGGGGGCGUUUCCCCCAUGCUGUUCUCGUGAUAGUGAGUGAGUCUCACGAGAUCUGAUGGUUUAAUAAGCGUCUGGCAUUUCCCCUGCUGGCACUCAUUCUUUCUCCUGCUGUCCUGCGAAGAGGUGCCUUCUGCCAUGAUUGUUAGUUCCUGAGGCCUCCCCAGCCAUGCGAACUGUGAGUCAAUUAAACUUGUUUUCUUUAUAAAUCACCCCGUCUCAGGUAUUUCUUCAUAGCAGCAUGAGAAUGGACUAAUAGGCUCCUCUUCCAGGUAAGUUAGGCAGAGUACGUUUCCUCCACAAAACAAAAGAUGGUUGCCUCAGAAUGCCUCCUAACUUUGCCUGCAAGAAGCCUGCAGUAAGACCUUUUCUUAGGGCCAGUCUGAAGGCCACACCCUCCCCUUAUCCCCUAAUUUUGGAUGCAAAAGGUCUCCCUGAGACUUCAGGUGAAGAGGAUUUGACUUUGGAAUCUGGGAUUCACUUUUCAGACUGACCUUCUGCUAUAUUUUGUUUUGCUUCUCUGGGAUUUCAAGCUUGAGAAUAGAGUAAGGAAAAAAGUUCUGUGUUCUCCUUUGGGAAAUUAUUUUCCCUGGUCCCCUUGGUCAGAGGGUAGCAGGUAAGUCUUGAUGGGAUUGUUCUGUGUUUCCAGGCUUCCCUCUGGAAUUAAUCUCAGAGGCAUGGAAGGGAGCCUGAUGGACUCUUCUGGGCUGUGUCCCAGUCAGGAAGCGAGAUCUUUCUAAUUCCCAGACAGGCCAGCGCUUUCUGCUGAACAGAGGCCUGCUAGACCCUGAGUAGGGGAAGCCCAGGCUGCUUCUGAGGCAAAUGAUGACCUUAAUCAUUUUCAGAGGUAUGGUUUUCACCUGGGAAGGGACGUGAGACGGCAACAAGGCAUUCAGUGAAUAUUUAUGAGUGAGCGGAAAAAACUCUUUCCUCCUGUACGUGGCAGAAAGGGUAGCUGGAAGCUGUGCCAAUGUAGGAGACCAGGAAUUCCUAGCCUGGGAGGAAGGAAGGGCAGGGAUGCAAAGGGACAGAGGGAGAAGAGGAAGCAAAUUCCAGCCAGGCUGGCUCUCCUAGGAGGAGUGGCAGUGAUGAAACCCUCUUCUUUAGACUCUGUCUUAGAGAAGGAUGGGGCCCGAAGAGGUUUCCUCUUUCAGCAAGUGUUGGGGUGUGUGUGUGUGUGCGGGGAUUUAAUCAGGGGAUCUACGAGCACAUUCACAGACCCUUAGCUACUAGUGCUGCCCAAUUCCAAGCAUGUUUAGCUUUAAGUACCUCUUGUCUGGUAAUCCAGGGCCAGAUAUCUGGAGGUGGGAACUGGCUGCCAUAGCCUGUUGCUCCCCACAAGGAUGAGGACAAGGGCUCCACUGGGCACCUUUCCUAGGCAUGGCCAGGGUUGUUAUAAAGCAUAGGGUGGGAGGGUGGUUGUGGCUUUCUGUGGUAUAGCUACUGAUCAAUGUAGCAUUUGAUUGAUCCAUUUUCUCCAGAGGAGAAGGGAGUGUGGUGGGAAAAUCCUGAGGCUGAGGAGGUGGAUACUUACAGGUCCUGGUCCAACUGACUGGGAUCUUAGGAUCACUCCCUUCUCCAACCUGAGUGGUUCCCCGCCUUUUUUUUUUUUUUUUUUUUUUUUUUGAGAUGUAGUCCCACCCUGUUGCCCAGGCUGGAGUGCGGUGGCAUGAUCUCGACUCACUGCAAGCUCCGCCUCCCGGGUUCACGCCAUUCUCCUGCCUCAGCCUCCAGAGUAGCUGAGACUACAGGCACCUGCCACCACGCCUGGCUAAUUUUUUGUAUUUUUAGUAGAGAUGGGGUUUCACCGUGUUAACCAGGACAGUCUCGAUCUCCUGACCUCGUGAUCUGCCUGCCUCGGCCUCCCAGAGUGCUGGGAUUACAGGCGUGAGCCACCAUGCCUGGCCAACAUUUUUUUUUUUUUUUUUUUUAAUUACAGAAUCAUCUGACAAAGGAACUCUUUUAAGGAGCCUUAACAUAUCAAAAGAUCAAGGCAGAGCCGCCCUCAUUGAAGGGUUUGGAGGACCUGGAGCUUACCCUCUUCUCUCCUUCCCUGACUGGGAG